UUUUUGUGGUUUAUGUUGGCUGUAGUCCCGAUUUAAUAAGAGCUAGGGAGUGUAUAGAAAUUGUUCGUUGUAUAGAGCUUUUGAAUAUUUCUUUAGGUGUGAAAUGUAAGUCGUUUAUUGUGAUAUCUGGUUUUCUUGGAAAUGAAUUUAGUUCAGGCCUAUGUAUUAUUUGCUUUUUUAUCAAUGGUGAUUGUUUAAAGUGUAUGUUGGUUUAGUGUUGCAGGGAUAAGCUUGUUUCAUUUUCUAAAAAGUUAUUGUGAAUUGUUUGGUUAUUUAAGUUUUCCUUAGGCUUUAAAUCUGCCAUGGGUUGUUAGUUCGUCGUAGAUGAUUCUUAGUAGUUGAGAUUGGGGUAUUUUAGUUUUAGUACAGGAGCGUUUUUUGUAAUUUUCUUGUUUUGUGAUUUUGCUUUAAUUAGUAGAUGUUGUUGUGUAGUUUGGUUUGUUUGUAGUGUUGGGUUUGAGUGGUUAGUUGUAGAUUGUUGUAAAGGAACUCGGCAAAUAUGGUUUCUGCCUGUUUAUCAAAAACAUGGCCUUUUGUGAAAAUAUAAGGUCGGGCCUGCCCACUGUUUGUAUGAAGGGCUGCGGUAUACUUGACCGUACAAAGGUAGCAUAAUGGUUUGUCUAUUAAUUGUUGGCUUGUAUGAAUGGUCUGACAAGAGAUCGACUGUCUCUAUAAUAAUUGAUUGAAUUUUACUUCCAGGUGAGGAGGCUUGGAUUUUGCCAAGGGACGAGAAGACCCUGUAGAUUUUUAAUUUCUUAGUUUUGUUGGGAUUGGUAUUGUUUGGUUUUGAUGUGUUUAGAAUGGAUUUGGAUGUUUUAGCUGGGGCGGCUGUGGGAGAUGAAUAUCUCCUGUUUGUAUUGUGGCAAUUAUGGUUGUAUUGAUCCUUUAUUAUGGAUAUUAAGAAAAAAAUACCUCAGGGAUAACAGCGUAAUUUUUCUUGAGAGUACUUAUCGAUAGGAAAGUUUGCGACCUCGAUGUUGAAUUAAAGGUGGAGUUUGGUGUAGGGGCUGAAUGUAGUGGGUCUGUUCGACCCUUAAAGUUUUACGUG
rnacentral:rRNA from 1 species